GAUGAACGCUGGCGGCGUGCUUAAUACAUGCAAGUCGAACGGAGACGCUAUAGCAAUAUGAUGUCUUAGUGGCGAACGGGUGAGUAACGCGUUGGUGACCUGCCCCGAAGAGGGGGAUAACAGCUCGAAAGGGCUGCUAAUACCCCAUGUGGUCGCGAAGGUUAGAGGCUUUGCGAUUAAAGGAGUAAUCCACUUCGGGAGGGGCCUGCGUCCCAUCAGCUAGUUGGUAGGGUAAAAGCCUACCAAGGCGACGACGGGUAGGGGGCCUGAGAGGGUGACCCCCCACACUGGCACUGAAACACGGGCCAGACACCUAUGGGUGGCAGCAGUAGGGAAUAUUGCACAAUGGGCGAAAGCCUGAUGCAGCAACGCCGCGUGUGCGAUGAAGGCCUUCGGGUCGUAAAGCGCUUUUUGGGGAGAUGAGGAAGGACAGUAUCCCCAGAAUAAGGUUCGGCUAACUACGUGCCAGCCGCCGCUGUAACAC
rnacentral:rRNA from 1 species